AAUUCUUUAUUAUAAUUAGUAAGUUUAAUUUCCAAUUAAAAAGUUUAAGAAUUA
rnacentral:tRNA from 1 species